CCUACGGGAGGCAGCAGUGGGGAAUAUUGCACAAUGGGGGGAACCCUGAUGCAGCAACGCCGCGUGGGUGAAGAAGUACUCCGGUAUGUAAAGCCCUGUCAGCAGGGAAGAAAAUGACGGUACGUGACCAAGAAGCCCCGGCUAACUACGUGCCAGCUGCCGCGGUAAUACGUAGGGGGCAAGCGUUAUCCGGAUUUAAUGGGGGUAAAGGGGGCGUAGACGGGAAGGCAAGUCUGGAGUGAAAGCCCGUGGGCCAACCACGGGGCUGCUUUUGAAACUGUGUUGCUGGAGUGCAGGAGGGGUAAGCGGAAUACCUAGUGUAGCGGUGAAAUGCGUAGAUAUUAGGAGGAACACCGGUGGCGAAGGCGGCUUACUGGACUGUUACUGACGUUGAGGCUCGAAGGCGUGGGGAGCAAACAGGAUUAGAUACCCUUGUAGUC
rnacentral:rRNA from 1 species